UUCGGGAGCCGUUUGCCCGUCGUCGGCGGGAGCGCGGGCGCCGGGCCGGGCGGCGCCUCGGUGCCCGCCGCGGCCCAGCCGCCCGCGCACGGCUCCGAAACCGCUGUGCCGCUUGUGUUGCAGGGCGCCCCGCGUCGGAGCUGCCCGCGCCCGGCGGUGCCCAGUCGUUCCCACUUGCCACAGGAGUCCGAGUCAUGACGGACGUCCAGUAUGUCCUGUGCAGAUGGGAGAAGCGACUGUGGCCUGCCAAGGUGUUGGCCAGAACUGAGAUGUCAACAAAAAAUAAGAGAAAAAAGGAAUUUUUUCUAAGUGUUCAAAUCCUCUCCCUAGAUGAAAAGAUUGAGGUGAGAAGCACAGAUGUGGAAAUCCUGAAGACGGCCCACAUCGAACGGAUUGCCUCCUCCCUGGCCUCCCAGAACAAGGUUCCUGCUGAACCCCUGGAGGAGCUGGCCUACAGACGCUCGCUUCGAGUGGCUCUGGAUGUUUUGAACCAAAGAACCAGUUUGCCUCAAGAAAGCUCUUCAAGGGAAGAAAGAACUGCUCUGUCUUCAGGAGAGAAGCCCAUGGAACUGGCCUCCUCGCUCUGUGACCCCAGCUCUUCUGGUCUCCAGGAAGACGUGCUGAGCAGUUCUGGACCUCAGAGGAGGGAAUGUGUACACCCAAGGCUGUCGGGUUCACCCUCUUGUAGAAAGGACCCCAAGUGCAAAGACCACAAGAAGGAGCUCGGGAAAAGUGAAAGUGCACGGGCCUUGGUGGUCCCCUCAGCCAGAGGGGGUUCUCAGGACGCCGGUGGAUCAAGAACGUGCUGCAGAAAGCAGACGACCCUGAGUAAAAGGGGAAGAAAUUUAGCACAGGAGCCUAGCUUGUGUCAGAGAGUACCUUCACUCUCAGAGGGAGAUGGUGAAAAAGACAGCAGACCUCCAGCCCCCGGCUCACCUCCCAACUUUAGGGAGGGGGGUCUGUGGGCCAAAGGGCGAGACCCGGGUUUGCCUCUGCGUGGCCCCACUGUGCUCCCGACCCCGGGGCGCCCCGCCUGCCCAGAUGCCCGAGGCCGCCCUGCCAAGCGUCUGCACCCAGAAGGCAGCCAGAGGCUGCCCACCCCACAGCUGGAGCCAGGGGCAGUGCCCAGGCAGAGGCCUAGGGGAUGCAUGACUUUGCGCAGCACUGCCAAACUCAGCCUGCCUGGCCCCCAUGCUUCCCCGGAGGAGACAAGAAAUCCUCGCAUCCUGGUGGAGGAAGGUAAAGACCGUCAGUCUUCGGGAGAGUCAGUCGACUUCAGUCCCCUUCAUCCCGUCCUGGAGGAAGAGGAUGACGACGAGGAGCCCCCCAGAAUCCUUUUGUACCACGAACCACGCUCAUUUGAAGUAGGAAUGCUGGUCUGGCUUAAACACCAGAAAUACCCCUUCUGGCCAGCAGUGGUCAAGAGUGUCCGGCGAAGAGAUAAGAAAGCCAGUGUGCUCUUUAUCGAGGGGCACAUGGACCCCAAAGGGAGAGGGAUCACGGUAUCUCUCAAGAGACUGAAGCACUUUGACUGCAAAGAGAAACAGGCGCUUCUGAACGAAGCCAAGGAGGACUUCGACCAGGCCAUUGGCUGGUGCGUCUCCCUGAUCACCGACUACAGGGUCCGGCUUGGUACGUGGGCCUGCACGCCCUUGGACAAAGGGACCGAGCUGGGGGCAGAGUGCAGGCCUGUUUCCUAUGGCUGCCCGGCCUGGGGCCAUGGCAGUCUUGUGCCCAACGAGGGCAGGCUGUGGUUCUUUCGCGGGCUCUUUCCUGGAGUAUUACGCCGCCGAUAUAAGUUAUCCCGUCCGCAAGUCCAUCCAGCAGGACGUCUUGGGGACCAGGUUCCCGCAGUUGAGCACGGGGGACCCCGAGGAACCUGUGGCGGGGGGCCCCCAGGGGAGGAGGCGGCCCUACAGGAAGGUCCUCCCUGACCGGUCCCGGGCUGCCCGGGACCGGGCCAACCAGAAGCUGGUGGAGUACAUCGUGAAAGCGAGGGGCGCCGAGGGCCACCUGCGGGCCAUCCUGAAGAACAGGAAGCCGUCGCGGUGGCUGAAGACGUUUCUGAAUUCGGGUCAGUACAUGACGUGCGUGGAGACGUACCUGGAGGACGAGGAGCAGCUGGACCUGGUGGUGAAGUACUUACAGGGGGUCUACCAGGAGAUGGGCAGCAGGACGCUGGCGCGGGUCAACGGCGACCGGAUCCGCUUCAUCCUGGACGUUCUUCUGCCUGAAGCCAUCAUCUGCGCCAUCGCGGCAGUGGAUGCUGUGGAUUACAAGACGGCUGAGGAGAAGUACCUCAGAGGACCGUCCCUCAGCUACCGGGAAAAAGAAAUAUUUGAUAACCAGCUCCUAGAAGAGAGGAGUCAGCGGUGCUGAUGCUGGAGGGGCUGCCGCGGGUCCCGUGGCUGGGGCGAGUGCAGUCUGCAGGACGGGGGCCCGGAAUGUGCUCCUUCUCAUCUGUGGGUGCUCCUUUCCUGGCUUUUGUGGAAGGUAGAGUUCCUGAUUUUGAAACGAAAAUGUGUUUUAUUUUAUUGCAUAUCAUUACUUGUGACUGUAUUGUUUAAUAAAAGGUGCACAUCUGUUUUUUUAUGUUAAAAAGCAUUGUAUCCAAUAUUAAACAGGAGUUUUAAGAAA